AUGGAGGACCUGCUGGACGCCGAGAUCGGCAAGAACGACUACGACUGGCUUCUUACUCCGCCUGGGACGCCCCGUGUUCCUGCUCUGGAGGUUGCUCAGAAAAUACCAUCCUCAAAUAUAUUACCUAAGCGCACCCUCACUAGAUCUUCCUCAACUACAAGAGCAUCAAGGCUUUCGGUGUCUCAAACAGAGAAUGGACAUUCUGCAGUUCCCACCAGACCAGCAAGAAGUAACUCUGUAACCCGCCCUUCUAUCCAAUCAACUCUCAUGUCAAGCAAUAACAGGACAUCAGUUCUCAAUGCAAGUAUUUCAUCUGUCAGUUCAAGACCUACAACCCCAAGUAGGCGAAGCAGCACCAUUGCUGCGCCAAAACAAUUGGUGCCAGCUUCACGUCCAGUUCCAGCAAGGUCAUCUACUCCUGUUAAAGCUCGUCCAUCUACACCAUCCAAAACUCGCCCGUCUACUCCUGUGAAAACUCAUCAAACAACAUCCAACUCUACAACUGACGCAGCUGCUGGCAGGACCACAGCCACCCAAAGUUCAAGGCCAUCGACUCCAAAUUCUCGCUCUCGAAUUAUGUUGAAUUCAUCUUCAGGGUCUAUUCCUGCAAUGAGCCGCCCAAGUCCAUCCAUAGGUAUAAUUCCUGCGACGAGCCGCGCAGGUGCUUCCUCAAGUAAUGGUCAUGGGACAAGCCAUUCCACCUCAUUGUCUUCUGGCACAGUUCCUUCAGUGAGUCGCUCCACCUCACGAUCAUCGACACCUACACGUCAGCCUGCAGUGCGUUCAUCGGCCCCAGCUAUGGGCCGUUCGCCUUCUUUUGGACGGACUUCUAGUAGCCAUAGCUUGACCACAUCUAUGAACCGACCUGCAGCUAGCAGUGUCCGAAGUUCAGCACCGUCAUCGGCUCCAUCAUCACGCCCAAGUUCCCCAGGUCCACGACCCCGAGCUCCAGUGCGCACACAUGACAUUCCUUCCUCGGCUCCAUCAUCUCGUCCAAGCUCCCCAGGUCCACGACCUCGAGCUCCAGUGCGGCCACAUGAUACCCCUUCAUCGGCUCCAUCAUCUCGUCCAAGCUCCCCAAGUCCACGGCCCCGAGCUCCAGUGCGGCCACUUGAUAUCCCUGAUUUCCCAAAUGAAACGCCACCAAACCUGAGGACAAAGCUACCUGAGCGACCACUAUCUGCUGGUAGAUCACGCCCGGGAAUGGCUUCAGGAAUAAGAUCAAACCCACAUGCUGAACAGUUAGCUGCCUCGGCUCCUGCGAAAAAGCUCUCCGUGCCUGCUGCAAGUCGUAAUAAGUUUUCUGAUCCACCAUCAAAGGCGCCUUCUCGCUCAAAUGGACACCAAAAUAGGCAGUCUGAAAGGUCCGUUGUUGACAGCCAAGCUACUAGAACUGCACGGGCUGGUGCAGUUGCAGGCGAUAAUGGAUUUGGGAGGACAAUUUCAAAGAAUUCACUUGACAUGGCGAUCAAGCACAUGGACAUUCGGCAGAACCUGGGUGGCAUCCGUGGCGCAUCCCUGUUCCCCCACAGCAUCCGCUCGAGCGCCGGCAAGGUCCGUCCGGUCCGAAUGUCUGACCCAGGGCAUCCCACCUUGAACGGUGACCACCCGCACUACGCCGACAACGGCAGCACCAACGGGCACUUCUUCUCAGGGGACUCGUACGGAGCUGUGUCCCGCAACGGCGGCAGCUCGACCGACUCGCCGGACCGGGGAAGCUUCGGGACCAAGGAGACGUCCCUGAGCGAGCUGGACAUCUACGGCAGCUCGCGGUACGAGGCGAUGCUGCUGCGGGGGGAGGACGUGAGGAACACGAGCUGGCUGCACGGCGGGUUCGACGACGACAAGCCCGACCAGAGCCCCCUGUUCGACCACCGGUUCGAGCCGCUCCCGGAGCCCUUCAGCCCCUUCUGA
rnacentral:rRNA from 1 species